AACGAACGCUGGCGACAUGCCUAACACAUGCAAGUCGAACGAGACCUUCGGGUCUAGUGGCGCACGGGUGCGUAACGCGUGGGAACCUGCCCUUAGGUUCGGAAUAACUCCCCGAAAGGGGUGCUAAUACCGGAUAAUGUCUUCGGACCAAAGAUUUAUCGCCUUUGGAUGGCCCCGCGUUGGAUUAGCUAGUUGGUAGGGUAAAAGCCUACCAAGGCGACGAUCCAUAGCUGGUCUGAGAGGAUGAUCAGCCACACUGGGACUGAGACACGGCCCAGACUCCUACGGGAGGCAGCAGUGGGGAAUAUUGGACAAUGGGCGAAAGCCUGAUCCAGCAAUGCCGCGUGAGUGAUGAAGGCCUUAGGGUUGUAAAGCUCUUUUACCCGGGAUGAUAAUGACAGUACCGGGAGAAUAAGCUCCGGCUAACUCCGUG
rnacentral:rRNA from 1 species